CUAAUGAUCUAAUCAAUCAUGCCUGUGUAAUGAAGCCUCUAAAAACCCAACAGGAGAGGGUUCUGGGAAUUUCUGAGUUGGUGGAGGUGUAGGAGAGUGGCACAGCCAGUAAGGGCCUGGAAGCUCUGUGCCAUUUCCCCACACCUUGCCCUGUACAUCUCUUCCAUCUGGCUGUUCCCUGAGUUAUAUUCUGUAAUAAACCACUAAUCUGGCCACAUUACAAGCUUUGAGCAAAGACUUGAAAGAAAAGUAUUUGUUUAAUGAAUAUCUGCAAGAAGAAUGGUCUGGAUAAAGAAAAUAGCUAGAGCAAUGGCCCCAAGCAAUUAAAUGGAGAUAGAGUGGAAUGAGCAGAACUUCAACAAUACAUCACCAUUGACAUUUCAGUAUUUGAUUAUUUAGUGUGAAUUCACUGAAUGGAAGAAUUAUUAACUACCAGGAUAUGUUGCUGUCAUGAAGAUAUAUCCAAAAUUAUAUACUGAAGGCAGUGAUCAUUACGGAGGCAGACAGAGAAUUCGGUAUCUUCUAUUGAAGUUGAGCAUAAAGAUAUUCGAAACGAUAUAUGUGAUCUUUGGAGGAGAAAAGGACAGCUUUAGGCCCUUGGUGCUGGCAUUUUCAUGUCUUUCUCAAUACCGCAACCAUGCUGUGUCCUUUGGAGGUGUUCUUUUACUGGACUGUUCCCCAAUGAAACUGGGUCUUGAAGUGUCAAUGGUAUCAAGCGAGAUCAUAGGGUACCCCUCUAAAUCUGCCUCUGGUUGAUGUCAGUGCUGCUAGCCCUGUGGAUUCUGGUCAUAGCUGCCAACUUUCUCUUUGAAACUUCUUCCUUUUCAUUAUGUUUAGGUGCCUCUCAAGUCACCGAGCUUUGGUCCAGACUCAAAAUCAAAUUUCUUUUUUCUCGUCUCUCCCUGACUGAUCUCAGAGACAUUACAAAGCACAUUAAAUCUCCAAAGAGAGACAGCACUUAAAAGUGCUAUUUCACUUUUGUGUUAACUCACAAAAGUCAGUAUCUCUGACUGAUCACAUAUGAAAGAACCCUUAAAAAGGACAGUAUCACA